rnacentral:rRNA from 1 species
GUAGGUGGCAAGCGUUGUCCGGAAUUAUUGGGCGUAAAGCGCGCGCAGGCGGUCCUUUAAGUCUGAUGUGAAAGCCCACGGCUCAACCGUGGAGGGUCAUUGGAAACUGGGGGACUUGAGUACAGAAGAGGAAAGCGGAAUUCCAAGUGUAGCGGUGAAGUGCGUAGAGAUUUGGAGGAACACCAGUGGCGAAGGCGGCUUUCUGGUCUGUAACUGACGCUGAGGCGCGAAAGCGUGGGGAGCAAACAGGAUUAGAUACCCUGGUAGUCCACGCCGUAAACGAUGAGUGCUAAGUGUUAGGGGGUUUCCCGCCCCCUUAGUGCUGCAGCUAACGCAUUAAGCACUCCGCCUGGGGAGUACGGCCGCAAGGCUG